ACAGCCAUAUCACGCUGAAACACUAAUUCCUGUAUGAUCACUAAAGUUAAGCAACAUCAAACUUGGUCAGUACUUAGGUGGGUGACUGUUUGGGAAUAUCAGGUGCUGUAAG